rnacentral:rRNA from 1 species
UACGUAGGGUCCGAGCGUUGUCCGGAAUUAUUGGGCGUAAAGAGCUCGUAGGCGGUUUGUCGCGUCUGCUGUGAAAUCCCGAGGCUCAACCUCGGGCCUGCAGUGGGUACGGGCAGACUGGAGUGCGGUAGGGGAGAAUGGAAUUCCUGGUGUAGCGGUGGAAUGCGCAGAUAUCAGGAGGAACACCGAUGGCGAAGGCAGUUCUCUGGGCCGUAACUGACGCUGAGAAGCGAAAGCAUGGGGAGCGAACAGG